AUUGAACGCUGGCGGCAGGCCUAACACAUGCAAGUCGAACGAGUGGCGGACGGGUGAGUAAUGUCUGGGAAACUGCCUGAUGGAGGGGGGUAACUACGGGAAACGGUAGCUAAUACCGCAUACCAUCGGAUGUGCCCAGAUGGGAUUAGCUAGUAGGUGGGGUAAAGGCUCACCAAGUCGACGAUCCCUAGCUGGUCUGAGAGGAUGACCAGCCACACUGGGACUGAGACACGGUCCAGACUCCUACGGGAGGCAGCAGUGGGGAAUAUUGCGCAAUGGGCGCAAGCCUGAUGCAGCCAUGCCGCGUGAAUGAAGAAGGCCUUCGGGUUGUAAAGUACUUUCAGCGGGGAGGCGUUAACCACAGAAGAAGCACCGGCUAACUCCGUGCCAGCAGCCGCGGUAAUUC
rnacentral:rRNA from 1 species